rnacentral:misc_RNA from 1 species
UACUGCUGGCUCUGCCUCCCGGG